rnacentral:lncRNA from 1 species
UGAGACUCCAGCUUAACUCUGGGAUAAGCUAUUUGGUGAUAGACACAGUACCUGGACCGGGCAGAGGAGUGGAAUCCAAAGAUAAAGUUAGGAGAACGUACUUCAAGGGGAAAUUUGUCCUUUCACUUGUGGUAUCAUAGUCUUUCAUGGAUCCCAUGCUGUUGUCUGUUUAUUUCUCCUUAAACAAGGAAAAAUAUACCCAGACCCAGUUUUCAUCAACAGACCAGGCUACAUCAGUCUUCCAAUUGACACCAAAAUACAUCAUAAGGAGCCUCACUUCUUGCCUCUGAUCAUGCUUGUUCCCUUGCCUGAAGAGUUCAUCUUUGUUUCCAAGUUCAAAUUUUAUUUCUCCUUAAAAAUUGAAAUAAGUUCAAGAUUCCCACUUAUGGAUUCUCUUAAAUACCUGAAAGGACCAGUCAUGGAGAAAAAUGCUUCAUCUUUGGGAUUUUCUCCAUGCCCAUGGCAACCAUCACUCUACUUUCUGUCUCUAUGAAUUUGAAUACUCUGGGUAACCUCAUUCUGGGAUGAUAUGAAACCUUGCAGACGACAUGCAUGGAUCAACUCAUGAGACAGUAAAUCACUCAAAAUCUUACUACAAAAGACAACGUCCUUAUUUGCUUUUACAGAAAAAGGGCAUCUGUUGGAGGCUGGAGGAUCUACUGUCAAGAUGACUCACUCUUAUGACUAGCAGACCACUACGGGCAACUCUCCAUCUAUCCCUCCUGAUUCCUUUAUGGACAACUCUCCAUCUAUUCCACCUGAUUCCUCUAUGGACAACUCUCCAUCUAUUCCGCCUGAUUCCUCCAUGGGCAACUGUCCAUGUAUUCCACCUGACUCCCAGCUAGGCUGCAUCCUCCACCAUUGGAAUCAAUUUGACCCUGACAACCUAAAAAGAAAACUGUGAUGAUUAAUACUGAGUGUCAACUUGAUUGGAUAGAAGGAUGCAAAGUAUUGAUCCUGGAUGUGUCUGUGAGGGUAUUGCCAAAGGAGAUUAACAUUUGAGUCAGUGGGCUGGGAAAGGCAGACCCACUCUUAAUCUGGGUGGGCACCAUCUAAUUAGCUGCCAGCAUGGCUAGAAUAUAAAGCAGGCAGAAAAACAUGAAAAAACUAGAUUGGCCUAGCCUCCCGGCAUACAUCUUUCUCCUGUGCUGGAUGAUUCCUGCCUUUGAACAUCGGACUCCAAGUUCUUCAGUUUUGGGACUCACACUGGCUUUCCUUGUUCUUCAGCUUGCAGACAGUCUAUUGUGGGAUGUGGUGAUCGUGUGAGUUAAUACUACUUAAUAAACUCAUACGUAUAAUAUAUAUCAUAUAUAUAUAUUCUAUUCAGUCCCUCUACAGAGCCCUGACUAAUACAGAUUUUGGUACCAGGAGUGGUUCUAGAAGAGCAGAAUAUUAAGGCUGGAGUUCUUUCAUUGGUUUUGGGGUUUCUGGAGUUGGCUGCUUAAUAUGAUUAGACCCAAAAAUGCUAAGGACUCUACUUCUAAUAGUAUAGAGAACACUAAUAGUCCUUGGCAUAAACCAUUUAGAGAGUUAUGCAAAAUAAAUGCAUUUGAAAAUCCUGGUUCACUGCUCAUGAGAAGCAAGGAAUUUAGCAACUCUGUACAUAAUACCUUUGAUCGUAUGUGGAAAACCAAGGAACAUAAUAAAGCUGGUCG